UAACUCNNCAUAAAGCCAAUUUAAGGCAUCUUUAUUGAUUAAAGCUCCGGCGGUUAGAGAUGGGCAUGCGUGUCAUUAGCUAGUUGGUGAGGUAACGGCUCACCAAGAGCCACGAUGACUAGGGGGUCUGAGAGGAUGAUCCCCCACACUGGUACUGAGACACGGACCAGACUCCUACGGGAGGCAGCAUGUGAGGAAUAUUGGGCAAUGGACGCAAGUCUGACCCAGCCAUGCCGCGUGCAGGAUGACUGCCGCUAUGGGUUGUAAACUGCUUUUUGUUUGGGAAGAAACCCCCGAUCGUGAUCGGGGGUGACGGUACCAUACGAAUAAGCAUCGGCUAACUUCCGUGCCAGCAGCCGCGGUAAUACGGAGGAUGCAGCGUUAUCCGGAUUCAUUGGGUUUAAAGGGUGCGCAGGCGGAAUAUUAAGUCAGUGGUGAAAUCCUGCAGCUUAACUGUAGAAACUGCCAUUUGAUACUGAUAUUCUUGGAAAUAAUAGUUGAGGUGGGCGGAAUGUGUAAUGUAGCGGUGAAAUGCUUAGAUAUUACACAGAACACCAAUUGCGAAGGCAGCUCACUAAACUAAUAUUGACGCUGAGGGACGAAAGCGUGGGUAGCAAACAGGAUUAGAUACCCUGGUAGUCC
rnacentral:rRNA from 1 species